CUCUACAGCCAUACCAGCCUGAACGCACCUGAUCUCGUGAAGCUAAGCAGGGUCGAGCCUGGUUAGUACUUGGAUGGGAGGGAUUAUUUUAGGAUUAACCGUAGAGU
rnacentral:rRNA from 1 species